GACGAACGCUGGCGGCGUGCCUAAUACAUGCAAGUUGAGCGAUGAAGAUUGGUGCUUGCACCAAUUUGAAGAGCAGCGAACGGGUGAGUAACGCGUGGGGAAUCUGCCUUUGAGCGGGGGACAACAUUUGGAAACGAAUGCUAAUACCGCAUAACAACUUUAAACAUAAGUUUUAAGUUUGAAAGAUGCAAUUGCAUCACUCAAAGAUGAUCCCGCGUUGUAUUAGCUAGUUGGUGAGGUAAAGGCUCACCAAGGCGAUGAUACAUAGCCGACCUGAGAGGGUGAUCGGCCACAUUGGGACUGAGACACGGCCCAAACUCCUACGGGAGGCAGCAGUAGGGAAUCUUCGGCAAGGGACGAAAGUCUGGCCGAGCAACGCCGCGUGAGUGAAGAAGGGUUUCGGAUCGUAAAACUCUGUUGGUAGAGAAGAACGUUGGUGAGAGUGGAAAGCUCAUCAAGUGACGGUAACUACCCAGAAAGGGACGGCUAACUACGUG
rnacentral:rRNA from 1 species